AGGGAUGUGCUCGCGGCCUAUCAGCUUGUUGGUGGGGUAAUGGCCUACCAAGGCUUCGACGGGUAGCCGGCCUGAGAGGGGUGACCGGGCCACACUGGGACUGAGACACGGCCCAGACUCCUACGGGAGGCAGCAGUGGGGAAUAUUGGACAAUGGGCGGAAGCCUGAUCCAGCAACGCCGCGUGAGGGAUGACGGCCUUCGGGUUGUAAACCUCUUUCAGUACCGACGAAGCGCCGAUGAUGGUGGUGACGGUAGGUACAGAAGAAGCACCGGCCAACUACGUG
rnacentral:rRNA from 1 species